rnacentral:rRNA from 1 species
AUUGAACGCUGGCGGUAUGCUUAACACAUGCAAGUCGAACGGCAGCACGGUCUGUAGUAAUACAGAUGGGUGGCGAGUGGCGGACGGGUGAGUGAUACGCAGGAAUCUGCCCUAUAGAGGGGGAUAACUCGAGGAAACUCGAGCUAAUACCGCAUAGUCUCUACGGAGUAAAGCUGGGGCAACCUGGCGCUAUAGGAGGAGCCUGCGUCUGAUUAGCUAGUUGGUGGGGUAAAGGCCUACCAAGGCGACGAUCAGUAGGUGGUCUGAGAGGAUGAUCACCCCCACUGGGACUGAGACACGGCCCAGACUCCUACGGGAGGCAGCAGUGAGGAAUAUUGGACAAUGGGGGCAACCCUGAUCCAGCAAUACCGCGUGUGUGAAGAAGGCCUUAGGGUUGUAAAGCACUUUAGGCGGGGAAGAAGGUAUGUAUUUUAAGAGAUAACAUAUUUGACGGUACCCGCAGAAUAAGCACCGGCUAACUCUGUGCCAGCCGCCGCGGUAA